CUUAUAAGAAGAGAGACCUGAGCUAGCACACACAGCCCCCUCACAUGGGCCACCUCAGUACUCUGCAGGGUCCCCACCAGCAGGAAAGCCUUCACCAGAUAUGGCCCUUUGACUCUGACUUCUCAGCCUCCAUAACCACCUUCUGAUUGGCAUGGUCCAUUAUUACAACUGUUUACUACAGGUAGUCAAACAGUGAACAUGAUUCCUUCAGAGAAAGGACCCAAGCUGCCUACAAGCUCCAGUUUGGCAUCCCCU
rnacentral:lncRNA from 1 species